CUACGCACUCCUACGGGAGGCAGCAGUGGGGAAUAUUGCACAAUGGGCGCAAGCCUGAUGCAGCCAUGCCGCGUGUAUGAAGAAGGCCUUCGGGUUGUAAAGUACUUUCAGCAGUGAGGAAGGUGGGUAUGUUAAUAGCAUAUUCAUUUGACGUUAGCUGCAGAAGAAGCACCGGCUAACUCCGUGCCAGCAGCCGCGGUAAUACGGAGGGUGCGAGCGUUAAUCGGAAUUACUGGGCGUAAAGCGCAUGCAGGUGGUUUGUUAAGUCAGAUGUGAAAGCCCGGGGCUCAACCUCGGAAUUGCAUUUGAAACUGGCAAACUAGAGUACUGUAGAGGGGGGUAGAAUUUCAGGUGUAGCGGUGAAAUGCGUAGAGAUCUGAAGGAAUACCGGUGGCGAAGGCGGCCCCCUGGACAGAUACUGACACUCAGAUGCGAAAGCGUGGGGAGCAAACAGGAUUAGAUACCCGGGUAG
rnacentral:rRNA from 1 species